rnacentral:rRNA from 1 species
UAAUUCCUACGGGGCGCAGCAGUAGGGAAUCUUCCACAAUGGACGAAAGUCUGAUGGAGCAACGCCGCGUGAGUGAAGAAGGGUUUCGGCUCGUAAAGCUCUGUUGGUAGUGAAGAAAGAUAGAGGUAGUAACUGGCCUUUAUUUGACGGUAAUUACUUAGAAAGUCACGGCUAACUACGUGCCAGCAGCCGCGGUAAUACGUAGGGGGCAAGCGUUGUCCGGAUUUAUUGGGCGUAAAGCGGG